GAGAGGAUGAGUCACUUGUCCCUGACCUACAGUGAAGAUCAAAGCCAAGACUUGACCCAGAGAUGACCAGGCAUCUCACUGGGUCUUUUCUACGGGUCUUGACCCCGCCCCUGCAGUAACCUGGUGCUGCCCAGCUCAUCCAUGUGGGAUACUGAGUCCUGCAUGGCUCACUCCUACUGAGUGGUCGAAUUCCAGGAUGGUGGAGUUGGUAGGCAGUUUAGGUUUGAAAAAGAGGACAAGGAGAGAGCCUUGAACUCACAGUGCCACUUUAGUGUGGAACUCCAGACCUCACUAAGGGGAGAAUGUGGUGACCACUCAUCCUGUCUACCUAUAAAGCCUCUGUGGCCCCACCCCAGCAUCCUUGAUCUCGCACUGUUUUUACCCUCUGACCUGUACAUGCCUUAGAGAAUCCAGCCCGUGCAUUGCCGUCUACACUCAGGUGUGGUCAGAAGAAGGGGCCAACAGAGAAGCCACACUUUUCACAGGGAAAGUGGAAUGUGUGCUUGAGGGCAAGGAGGCAGGUGAGCUGGGCUGACAAGACCUUUUCAGGAACUAGAGACUCCUCCUAUCCGCCUGUAUCGUCCCUCUGCCAUCAUGUUAGAAGGAGUUCUCUCUGCUGGAGCUUGGAAAUCAGGUCAGGCCCCAGCACUGGAUUGCAAUUCCACCCGAAGAGAAGGCAGAGAACCUCCUCUUACCACCUCACCAGGUGCUGUCAGUCAAGCCAAGCAUGACAAGGUUGGGAGCAAUUCUUCUUGCUUAUUGCAAUUUUUUUCAAUUCUCCACUUUCACUGUUUCCCAAAAUGGGGUCCUCACUGUUAAAGCUGGAGACUUGUCUGAGCUUCCUCAAGCUUCAGGUCCCUGCUAACUGCAUUAUUCCAGACCUUAUCUUGAGCUGUUUGCUGAAAAAGAUGAUUUUGUCCCUGACUGAAGGGUGAAGUGUUUUUGAUUUUCUACCCCUUGUACCAAGUGUCCCUGCUGAGGGAAUGGUCCAAUGAGCCAUAGGAUAGCACAUAGUGCUCUGCUCUGGUCAGGGAGGAUGGAGGACACUGUAUGGAUCUACUUGGGCCAAUGCCCAAACACACUGUGGAGUGAAUAAAAGCAAAUUACAGGUGGAGGACCUACUUAUUCACUGUAACAACAAUAAGCAUAUUACAUUGCCUAUUGUAAUAUGCUCUACACAAC
rnacentral:lncRNA from 1 species